rnacentral:rRNA from 1 species
AGGACGAACGCUGGCGGCGUGCUUAACACAUGCAAGUGGAGCGACGAACCAGGCUUCGGCCUGGGGCAGAGCCGCGAACGGGUGAGUAACACGUGGGUAACCUGCCCUGAUGAUUGGGACAACCCGAGGAAACUCGGGCUAAUACCAAAUGUGCCCUCUGGCCUCAAGGCCUCUGGGGAAAGGAAGCUUCGGCCUCCGCAUUGGGAUGGGCCCGCGGCCCAUUAGCUUGGUUGGGGGGGUAACGCCCACCGAAGGCGACGACGGGUA